UUAAAAUUCACUUCCUGAUAAUAGAAUUGGAAAGGUAUUUGAGGCAUCGACAGGUCCAGGAACUUUCUGAAAUUCGUCAAGUAUCUACAAUAACAAGUAGUCCAAAUGGCAGCAUUCAAGCCAUAUAAAACGAUCUCUAGUCUGGUGUGUGCCAGCAAAUACUUUCCAAACAUAAAUCAGUGGAAACCUACGUUAGCUGCAAGUUUUUCGACUAAAAAUACAGAAGAUGAUAAAUUCUUCGAUGAGAAAGACUACCAUACAAAUGUGAUGAAAACCAGAUUAGAGCUUUCGCCAUCCUUAUUUCAGAAUUCAGGAAAACAUUCCAUAUCAAAAAUUAAGGAAAUCAAGGAAAUGACUGACUCAAUUUGUAAAAAAGGCACUACAAAGGACAAAGAUGUAGCAACCAGUUGCCUAAGUUCGAACACUAAUAAAUAAAUGAAAUUUGAGGUAUUCUUCGCUGUAGCUACUUCUUCGACAAGAAAACAGAAAAUUUCACUUUUGUAUAAACACAAGCAACUUUCAUUACUGACAGAAGCUGUAAAGUUGUAACAGUUGCUACAUUUCGUUGUUACGGUUAUUUCAUGUUUUUCACAACCCGACUCUAAGAGCAUUCAAAAGUUAGUCGCAGUUUUGAUAUCACUGCUAUAACUAUAAAACACCUUUACCAGUAUAUUCAUAACUGUUACAACUUUAACAAAUAUUGUGACAAUUUCUUCAAUAUUUUGAAAAAUUAUGUAUAUGGAGGGAUUCAAAUAGAACCUUUUAUCUAACUUUUUCAGAAAUGUGCGUGUGUUAAGUUUUGAUUUUGAGUCUUUUUCUAGGCAGCUCGCAAAGAUAAAUACCGUCCAAGAUAAAUGUCGUGAAAUAUUUAGACAUUCGUUUGAAUUUGUGUAUAUUUAUAUAUUUCGUCAGAUUUAUGUGUUUGAGGUGAUAUUAGUCGGACGAACCAGUAAACUUUUUUUUGGUAUAUGUUCUCACUACCAAGAAAAUUAAAUGAACAAAAAUAAUAUUUCGGAUGAAUUUAUGAUCAUCAAAAUGUAUGUAAAGGAACAGAUUGAUACAUUGUGUAUGGAAGAUAUGUAUUUUUCUUAUGUAAAAUUGUGUUUAUUAGCACUAUUAUGGUAUUCAUUUUAAAAUUAAGUUGGAGUAUGUAAAUGAAUGAUAAUUCCUUAUUUAAUACCAUUAUUACUGACUAAGUAUGAGCGUUUGCGAGAAAGGCGUUAUCAUUUUCUUACAAAUUCAGAAAUGAUUUUUCUAAUAAAGAAUUAGUUUCGUGCAAUAAAUAGAUUUAUUACAUGGAUUCCUGAAAACAUACUUCGUGUGAUGCUUACAAAUGUAAGGAAUUUAUAUAAAAUAUAACAAAGAAAAAUCAAUACUAAAAUAGAAAAUUUUAUCAAACUUUGUCUUGUGCACCAGAUGACACAAUAGUGCGUUCAUCGAAAUUGUAUAAGUUUCAUAAUAGCGAAAGCGAAAUUCAAUGUAAAUAGUGUAAAUGUUAGUAAGGAAUUUUGUUUGGGUUAUUUACAGAUCAACUUUUCAAAUUUCACAGAGUAUAUAUUUAUUUAUGUGUACAUAUUUUUGUUGAAACAAAUGCAACUUCUAUAACUUUUUGUUCAAUAUGAAUUCGAUUAAAAAUAAUAUUCAUUAAACAAUUGAAAAAUUUGUAAAACCAAUUUUUUUUCUUGUUAAAUUGUUCAGUUGUGCAUUGUAUUGCUUAUUCAUGUGCCAUACGAAACACAUGUUAUAGAAGUUAUGAAACUUUAUUGAGCAGCAACUUCAGUUUGAAUAGAAUAAGAUGAUACAUCAAGUGAUAUUCAUGUGUGAAUUAAGAUUGGAUCUAAUUUGUGCUUACUCUCUUUUUA